rnacentral:rRNA from 1 species
UACGUAGGGGGCAAGCGUUGUCCGGAAUCAUUGGGCGUAAAGCGCGUGUAGGCGGUCCGAUAAGUCGGUUGUGAAAGUCAAGGGCUCAACCCUUGAAUGCCGACCGAUACUGUCGGGCUAGAGUCCGGAAGAGGCGAGUGGAAUUCCUGGUGUAGCGGUGGAAUGCGCAGAUAUCAGGAGGAACACCAACGGCGAAGGCAGCUCGCUGGGACGGUACUGACGCUGAGGUGCGAAAGCGUGGGGAGCGAACAGG